rnacentral:rRNA from 1 species
GAUGAACGCUGGCGGCGUGCCUAAUACAUGCAAGUCGAGCGAACAGAUAAGGAGCUUGCUCCUUUGACGUUAGCGGCGGACGGGUGAGUAACACGUGGGUAACCUACCUAUAAGACUGGAAUAACUCCGGGAAACCGGGGCUAAUGCAGGAUAACAUGUUGAACCGCAUGGUUCUACAGUGAAAGGCGGCUUUGCUGUCACUUAUAGAUGGACCCGCGCCGUAUUAGCUAGUUGGUGAGGUAACGGCUCACCAAGGCAACGAUACGUAGCCGACCUGAGAGGGUGAUCGGCCACACUGGAACUGAGACACGGUCCAGACUCCUACGGGAGGCAGCAGUAGGGAAUCUUCCGCAAUGGGCGAAAGCCUGACGGAGCAACGCCGCGUGAGUGAUGAAGGUCUUCGGAUCGUAAAACUCUGUUAUUAGGGAAGAACAAAUGCGUAAGUAACUGUGCGCGUCUUGACGGUACCUGAUCAGAAAGCCACGGCUAACUACGUG